rnacentral:rRNA from 1 species
AUUGAACGCUGGCGGCAGGCCUAACACAUGCAAGUCGAGCGAGCGGCGGACGGGUGAGUAAUGUGUGGGAAACUGCCUGCUGGAGGGGGAUAACUACUGGAAACGGUAGCUAAUACCGCAUACCAUCAGAUGUGCCCAGAUGGGAUUAGCUAGUGGGGGGGGUAACGGCUCACCUAGGCGACGAUCCCUAGCUGGUCUGCGGGGAUGACCAGCAACACGGGAACUGAGACACGGCCCAGACCCCUAGGGGAGGCAGCAGUGGGGAAUAUUGGACAAGGGGGGAAAGCUUGAGGCGGCCAGGCCGCGUGUGUGAAGAAGGCCUUGGGGUUGUAAGGCACUUUCAGCGGGGAGGCGUUACCCGAAGAAGAAGCACCGGCUAACUCCGUGCCAGCAGCCGCGGUAAUUC